ACCAAUACAAAGUUGUGCAUUUUCCCAAGUUCUAUCCUAUCAACUCCCCUCAAUUCAUUACAGGGUGCAAAAUAUGAUUUUCUGGCUCCACCUGUUGUCCCUACUAGCAUUCCUCAGAGAUGUCAAGUCUCAGGUCCAGUUGGUGGAGUCCGGAGGGGAUGUGAGAAGACCUGGAGGGUCCCUCCGUCUCUCCUGCCAAGCUUCUGGAUUCACCUUCAGCAGCUACUGGAUGGAGUGGGUGAGACAGGCUCCUGGGAAAGGCCUGGAAUGGGUGGCAGAAAUAGGUACAUCCUCCUCUCCGAUUCGCUACUCGGACAAAGUCAAGGGACGCUUCACCAUCUCCAGGGAUGAUUCCCGUAGCCAGCUGUAUCUGCAAAUGAACAGCCUCAAAUCAGAGGACACAGCUGUCUAUUACUGCGCUAGACACAGUGAGAGGAAGUGA